UACGAAGGGGGCUAGCGUUGCUCGGAAUCACUGGGCGUAAAGCGCACGUAGGCGGCUUGUUAAGUCAGGGGUGAAAUCCUGGAGCUCAACUCCAGAACUGCCUUUGAUACUGGGAAUCUCGAGUCCGGGAGAGGUGAGUGGAACUGCGAGUGUAGAGGUGAAAUUCGUAGAUAUUCGCAAGAACACCAGUGGCGAAGGCGGCUCACUGGCCCGGUACUGACGCUGAGGUGCGAAAGCGUGGGGAGCAAACAGG
rnacentral:rRNA from 1 species